rnacentral:rRNA from 1 species
AGAGCGAACGCUGGCGGCAGGCCUAACACAUGCAAGUCGAGCGCCCGUAGCAAUACGGGAGCGGCAGACGGGAUAGUAACACGUGGGAACGCGCCCUUCGGUUCGGAAUAACUCAGGGAAACUUGAGCUAAUACCGGAUACGCCCUUACGGGGAAAGAUUUAUUGCCGAAGGAACGGCUCGCGUCCGAUUAGCUAGUUGGUGAGGUAAUGGCUCACCAAGGCUCCGAUCGGUAGCUGGUCUGAGAGGAUGACCAGCAUCACUGGGACUGAGACACGGCCCAGACUCCUACGGGAGGCAGCAGUGGGGAAUAUUGGACAAUGGGCGCAAGCCUGAUCCAGCCAUGCCGCGUGGAUGAUGAAGGCCUUAGGGUUGUAAAGUCCUUUUAACGGGGAAGAUAAUGACGGUACCCGUAGAAUAAGCCCCGGCUAACUUCGCGCCAGCAGCCGC